rnacentral:rRNA from 1 species
AGCUGUAUAACCUGAAUGUACCUGGUUGCAUUUGAUCUUGGAAGCUAAGCAGGUUCCCACCUGGUUAGUACUUGGAUGGGGAACUAUUAGAAAGCCUAGUUUAAUGGCUU